rnacentral:rRNA from 1 species
UACGAAGGGGGCUAGCGUUGUUCGGAAUUACUGGGCGUAAAGCGCGCGCAGGCGGCUAUCCAAGCCAGUGGUGAAAGCCCGGAGCUCAACUCCAGAACUGCCUUCGAUACUGGCGAUCUUGAGUCCGGAAGAGGUGAGUGGAACUCCUAGUGUAGAGGUGGAAUUCGUAGAUAUUAGGAAGAACACCAGUGGCGAAGGCGGCUCACUGGUCCGGUACUGACGCUGAGGUGCGAAAGCGUGGGGAGCAAACAGG